AACAGUAUAGUUUAUUAAAAUUUUUAUUUUGCGUAUAAAAGAUAGCUUUUUUGGCUUGUUGUUA
rnacentral:tRNA from 1 species